CCUACGGGGGGCAGCAGUAAGGAAUAUUGGACAAUGGCCGCAAGGCUGAUCCAGCCAUGCCGCGUGCAGGAAGAAGGCCCUAUGGGUCGUAAACUGCUUUUGAACGGGAGAAAACCCUUGCUCGUGAGCGAGGCUGAUAGUACCGUUAGAAUAAGCAUCGGCUAACUUCGUGCCAGCAGCCGCGGUAAGACGAAGGAUGCCAGCGUCAUCGGGAUUCAUUGGGUUUAAGGGGAACUUGGGCGGAAUUGGUGAAAUCUGUGGGCUGAACCCACAAACUGCCAUUGAUACUGCAGGUCUAGAGUACAGUUGCCGUUGGCGGAAUAUGACAUGUAGUGGUGAAAUACUUAGAUAUGUCAUAGAACACCGAUUGCGAAGGCAGCUAACGAAGCUGUAACUGACGCUGAGGCGCGAAAGUGCGGGGAUCAAACAGGAUUAGAUACCCGUGUAGUC
rnacentral:rRNA from 1 species